AGCGAACGCUGGCGGCAGGCCUAACACAUGCAAGUCGAACGAACCUUUCGGGGUUAGUGGCGGACGGGUGAGUAACACGUGGGAACGUGCCUUUAGGUUCGGAAUAACUCAGGGAAACUUGUGCUAAUACCGAAUGUGCCCUUCGGGGGAAAGAUUAAUCGCCUUUAGAGCGGCCCGCGUCUGAUUAGCUAGUUGGUUGAGGUAAUGGCUCACCAAGGCGACGAUCAGUAGCUGGUCUGAGAGGAUGAUCAGCCACAUUGGGACUGAGACACGGCCCAAACUCCUACGGGAUGCAGCAGUGGGGAAUCUUGCGCACUGGGCGAAAGCCUGACGCAGCCAUGCCGCGUGAAUGAUGAAGGUCUUAGGAUUGUAAAAUUCUUUCACCGGGGACGAUAAUGACGGUACCCUGAGAAGAAGCCCCGGCUAACUUCGUG
rnacentral:rRNA from 1 species